ACCCGAUAAAGCUCAACCCUUCGUGAGAAGAGGGCGGAAAGCGGCGGGUCUUUCGAUAAGAUGGCCGAGUUGCCGAA
rnacentral:ncRNA from 1 species